rnacentral:tRNA from 1 species
UUGAUAGAAGCCAAAACUUUAGAGGCUUAUUACUGUUAAUAAUACAAUUGAAUUUUUUCCUAUCAAG